UCUCAUGACGCGCAAAGAGCCGAUGCUGAGCGCCUAGUCAACGGGUAACUGGAUUUCCUCAUUCUCCUCAGGUGAACUGAUUACCCUUAGCAGGCCUUUCUGCCUUGUGUCAUCUGCGAUUGGCUUCUGGCCUCUCUGCAACCCUGAUCGGGAUAAGCAGGUCGAAGACGGAUGGAUUGAUGGAGGGAUGGACGGAUGAGUGGACAGACAGAUGUGUCUAAUUGUACUGGCAUCCUGUCCAGAGUGUACCCCUGCAUGGUGCCCUGUGCAUCCUGGGACUCCAGAUGGUUGGAUUCCGGUUAGAAAUUAAGUUCAUUGUACCGCGGUACAUGACUUAAAGGUGAAGAACACCAUUUAAUCCAUUUAAUUUGUAAUUUAGUUACAGAUGUUCUCCAUGUGUCAUGCAGUAUUCCUUCUGUAGACCAAAACAUGCAACGUUCCAGGGUGUACUCUACCCUUGUGCCCUGUACUGUCUGGGAUAGUCUCCAAUGCCCCCCCCCCCCCAGUCCUCAUGACCUUCAUCAGGAUAAGUGGUUAGAAGAUGGAUGGAUAAUCUGUCACCAUCUCCGCCUUCAAAGCAUUUCCUCACAUGGAAGUCAUGGAACGGGAAGAGGGGGACGGAGCCAUGAUGUAGGAGCACUGCACGGUCAUCUUAAGUGCUGCCUCUGAUCUCCGCGAACAUGAGAGACAGGGGUGUACCGCCUCUGCAUCUUAACAAUGCCUGGGAACAAGAACGGCCUUCCUUUGGCUAUGCGUCGAGGGGGGAAAUCAAUAGCCGCAUAUGUAAGUAAGGCAGCCUAGCGAACUGGAAGGGCGAUAAGCCCGUGGGCCCAAGGUGUGCAGAAGUGGAUGUGUGAUUCGUGUGCCUCUUCUUCCAAACAGCUGAGGUUUCGGGUUUUGAGAUCUUUGUGGUUUUGAUCCUCACUUUCCUGUGACAGGAUAUGCUAGAAUUUAGCCUAGUAAGUUUGCAAAAAAAUGCCGGUGAUUUUUACGCAGUUCUUGCUGAAAUAAAAUGCACAAACACAAAACCUAAGGAGAUUGUAAGCCAUGUGUGGUCACUAAAAAACCAAAAUAGCUUUUAAAAAGCAUCCAGGCCAGAGGUAAGGAUGUCAGGUAUAAAUGUGGUCGAAAUGUUUCUGUCCAGCUGCAUGUGGGAGAUAUUUUGUGAUUAUGCAGCAGGCAUGACACUAACCAGAAAUCAAAAUUGUACCAUCACAGUUUCUCCAACUGAGCAGGUAAGAUGACCCAAAGUUGAUCCAAAUGUGUAUGACUCCAAGGGGUGAUAUGACUACUGUAAUGCAUUCACACAAACACAGUGAGCUCGACAGAUAUGCCACCAAAAAAUGGUCAUAUAUACCAACAGAGGUGUACUGGUUUAACGGUUAGCUUGCAUCUACAUUUACGUUUAUUUACUUAACAGAUGUCUUUGUCUAAAGUCACAUACAAGCAAGACUGAUAUUACAUUACAAACAUACAGCUGUCAAGGACCCAACCAAGCAAGUGUAGUUAGACUGAUCUUCCAAUGAAUGACCAGCAGCAAGUGAAAGUUAAAGUGAGCAUCAGAGCAAGACUAUAGAUUACAAACAUAGCAGGAAGCUAAUGAGAGAGCCAUUCAAUCACAGACAAGUGCAAAAAAUGGCAUUCAGGAUGCGCCUCAGACCACAGAGGAAUCACAGAUGAAGAUAGGACA